CUGGACUCAGCUUAAGGUACGUGCUAAUCCCAUGGGAAACCAUGCCGCUACGGGAAGGCCCGAUAAGCCGAGCCGUAGGGGGGCCCUCCAGGGGGCUGGUGUGCCGCUGGGCGGAGGUUCUCGUGAACCGAAGCCCGCUGCACAAAAUGCUGUGAUGCCCUUAGAUGUUCUGGGCCGCACGCGCGUUACACUGACGGGGCCAGCGAGUCUUUCCUUGACCGAAAGGUCCGGGUAAUCUUGUGAAACUCU
rnacentral:rRNA from 1 species